rnacentral:lncRNA from 1 species
CGGCCGGGUGGUGUCGGCGGCGGGGACCAGGGCCGGGCCGCCAUAUGAGACGGUUUAAGCGGAAGCAUCUUACAGUGGUCGACUGCCAGCAACUGGCCCGGAGUCAUUUGGCUGCGACUCAGCCCUUCAGUCAGAGAUGGACAAACAGAGACCCUAACCAUGGUCUCUAUCCUAGAGCCAGAACAAAAGGACGGAAUAGGGGUACGGCUUCUGUUUCAAAAUCUGUGGUCGAGGAUGUCAGAGAUACAUUUCUGAGUUCUUCCUAGCUAGCCACCAGCAUUGUACCAAUGACAUGGCCAAAAGCAAUUCUGUUGGCCAGGACAGCUGUCAGGACUCUGAGAAUGAUAUGAUUUUUCCUGCCGAGAGCAGUUGUUCUCUGCCUCAGGUGGAAAAUGGAGAAGUGAGGCUGGGCUCACCAGGAUCUGCUCAGCCCGCCAGGAAGCGGCCUCGUUCCUUGGAGGAAGCCACAGAGAGCGGCCAGUGGGAUGGGGUUACUAAGAAGACGCCACGCCAUCGUUUGUUCCCAUCGUGUGCAAGGCUUAGGGAGGUCAGGCAAGGAGCAGAGGAUGGUUUGUCACAGAGCUCUCCAGUACAUGGAGAAGCUGCCCAAGACAUUGAGGACAUUGGUCCUGAUCCCUUGCCUGAUUCAUACUAUGGGCUUCUUGGAACGUUGCCUUGCCAGGAAGUGCCCAGCCACAUCUGCAGGCUGCCAAGUGAAGUCCUGAGGCACAUCUUUGCUUUCCUGCCAGUGGAGGACCUCUACUGGAACCUCAGCCUGGUGUGCCACCUGUGGAGGGAAAUAGUCAAUGACCCGCUG